AUACAUGAGCAAAAUCUCAACUUUAUUAGAAGAGACGCAUUUAUUAGAUAAAAAGCCAAUGCAUGCUUUUACAGUAUGGAAAUUGGUGAUUUAUAAUAACUUAGCAAAUCGCAAAGUGAAAACAGGCGAUAAAUCAUUCAAGUUUCUGACCUAUCAGCUUUCGACGGUAUGGUAUUGGCUUACCGUGGCAGUGACGGUUAACGGGGGAUUAGGGUUCGAUUCCGGAGAGGGAGCCUGAGAAACGGCUACCACAUCUAAGGAAGGCAGCAGGCGCGCAAAUUACCCAAUUCUAACAGUUUAAGAGAGGUAGUAACAAGAAAUAACAAUACAAGGCAAUUAAAAUGCUUUGUAAUUGGAAUGAUAGAAAUUUAAACCCUUUUUAAAGUAUCAAUUGGAGGGCAAGUCUGGUGCCAGCAGCCGCGGUAAUUCCAGCUCCAAUAGCGUAUAUUAAAAUUGUUGCAGUUAAAAAGCUCGUAGUUGAAGUUCUGCUAAAAGUAACCGGUCUGCUUUUAAUAAAAGUGGUAUCUUGGUGUGUAUUUAGCAAUGAUGUCCUUUGAAGUGUUUUUUACUUUAUUGUAAUAAAGCAUAUUCAGGACUUUUACUUUGAGAAAAUUAGAGUGUUUCUAGCAGGCCAACGCUUUGAAUACUGCAGCAUGGAAUAAUAAG
rnacentral:rRNA from 1 species